rnacentral:rRNA from 1 species
CAAGUCGAACGGCAGCACGGGAGCAAUCCUGGUGGCGAGUGGCGAACGGGUGAGUAAUAUAUCGGAACGUGCCCAGUCGUGGGGGAUAACGCAGCGAAAGCUGUGCUAAUACCGCAUACGAUCUACGGAUGAAAGCGGGGGAUCGCAAGACCUCGCGCGAUUGGAGCGGCCGAUAUCAGAUUAGCUAGUUGGUGGGGUAAAAGCCCACCAAGGCGACGAUCUGUAGCUGGUCUGAGAGGACGACCAGCCACACUGGAACUGAGACACGGUCCAGACUCCUACGGGAGGCAGCAGUGGGGAAUUUUGGACAAUGGGCGCAAGCCUGAUCCAGCAAUGCCGCGUGCAGGAUGAAGGCCUUCGGGUUGUAAACUGCUUUUGUACGGAACGAAACGGCCUUUUCUAAUAAAGAGGGCUAAUGACGGUACCGUAAGAAUAAGCACCGGCUAACUACGUGCCAGCAGCCGCGGUAAUACGUAGGGUGCGAGCGUUAAUCGGAAUUACUGGGCGUAAAGCGUGCGCAGGCGGUUAUAUAAGACAGAUGUGAAAUCCCCGGGCUCAACCUGGGACCUGCAUUUGUGACUGUAUAGCUAGAGUACGGUAGAGGGGGAUGGAAUUCCGCGUGUAGCAGUGAAAUGCGUAGAUAUGCGGAGGAACACCGAUGGCGAAGGCAAUCCCCUGGACCUGUACUGACGCUCAUGCACGAAAGCGUGGGGAGCAAACAGGAUUAGAUACCCUGGUAGUCCACGCCGUAAACGAUGUCGACUUGGAGGUUGUGCCCUUGAGGCGUGGCUUCCGGAGCUAACGCGUUAAGUCGACCGCCUGGGGAGUACGGCCGCAACGUUGACACUCAAAGGAAUUGACGGGGACCCGCACAA